GGAAUAUUGCACAAUGGGCGCAAGCCUGAUGCAGCGACGCCGCGUGGGGGAUGACGGCCUUCGGGUUGUAAACCUCUUUCAGUACCGACGAAGCGCAAGUGACGGUAGGUACAGAAGAAGCACCGGCCAACUACGUGCCAGCAGCCGCGGUAAUACGUAGGGUGCGAGCGUUGUCCGGAAUUACUGGGCGUAAAGAGCUCGUAGGUGGUUUGUCGCGUUGUUCGUGAAAACCCACGGCUUAACCGUGGGCGUGCGGGCGAUACGGGCAGACUGGAGUACUGCAGGGGAGACUGGAAUUCCUGGUGUAGCGGUGGAAUGCGCAGAUAUCAGGAGGAACACCGGUGGCGAAGGCGGGUCUCUGGGCAGUAACUGACGCUGAGGAGCGAAAGCGUGGGGAGCGAACAGGAUUAGAUACCCUGGUAGUCCACGCCGUAAACGGUGGGUACUAGGUGUGGGUUUCCUUCCUUGGGAUCCGUGCCGUAGCUAACGCAUUAAGUACCCCGCCUGGGGAGUACGGCCGCAAGGCUAAAACUCAAAGGAAUUGACGG
rnacentral:rRNA from 1 species